ACAAAAAAACAAAAACAAAAAAGAAGCCGUUCUGUUCGCCGUAAGGAAAGUAUUAGCAGUAAAGGACUUAAUUUUGUCUUAUAUAAGCAAACAAAAAAAUUUCUCAGGUAUGCAUGUGCUAAAAGUUCACCAUGGACCUUAUUGCUGAAUUUCUUUCAGCAUUAUUUUGCUUUAAAGCCUGCUCUCGUUUUUGAUGAUAUACUUCCAUUUGCCUUGCAGGCUACAGCAGAGAGUUAUUUUGAAUACAGGGCUAAAUGCAACAACAACAACAACAAAAUGCAAGUGAAUGAAAACCAAUAGGCUCACACAACCUGUUUACAAAUAUGUCCUGUUUUUAUCUAUGAUUACUUCACAGCACUGCUGUGCUUCUCUGAUGUGCUGGGUUUCAGUCACAGUCCUGAUAUAAGCUUUCCCAAGCAAAGAAAAUGUAAUUUAAACAAGCUUGUCAAUGGUAGGGCCCAGCAGGCAGGUGAAGCAAGGAAUCCCAAGGAGGGUCAGGUUCCCUGGAACUUCUUUGCUAGCACAGAAGUGUAGAAGAUAAUGCUUCUCAUUUGGAACAAAUGAAAUCUUGAAAUGCAAUGCCUCCUCAGAAGUUUAUAGUGAGAAGGACGUAUUUGUUUUACAUCAAACUAGUGCCAGUAAAUAAAGCUAUGUGAAAGUGACA
rnacentral:lncRNA from 1 species